rnacentral:rRNA from 1 species
AACGAACGCUGGCGGCAUGCCUAACACAUGCAAGUCGAACGAGACCUUCGGGUCUAGUGGCGCACGGGUGCGUAACGCGUGGGAACCUGCCCUUAGGUUCGGAAUAACUCCCCGAAAGGGGUGCUAAUACCGGAUAAUGUCUUCGGACCAAAGAUUUAUCGCCUUUGGUUGGGCCCGCGUUGGAUUAGCUAGUUGGUAGGGUAGAAGCCUACCAAGGCGACGAUCCAUAGCUGGUCUGAGAGGAUGAUCAGCCACACUGGGACUGAGACACGGCCCAGACUCCUACGGGAGGCAGCAGUGGGGAAUAUUGGACAAUGGGCGAAAGCCUGAUCCAGCAAUGCCGCGUGAGUGAUGAAGGCCUUAGGGUUGUAAAGCUCUUUUACCCGGGAUGAUAAUGACAGUACCGGGAGAAUAAGCUCCGGCUAACUCCGUG